AUCCUGAGGCAUAAAUGUUCACAUUGGACGAUUUCCUAUGCGCUUUCUUACAUCUGCGGUGGUAGAGUGUUUUAAAGUGAUGGACACAAGCAGGGGGACAGAGGGGCGCUUGCCUGCGGGGAUGCUAAUUAUGCACUCUCUCUCCAAAUUAACCAACUUUCGCUGGGACCCAACCUCCAUCUGACACACUCGGAGAACGGGCGGAGAGCAGGGUGAGACGAAGAGCGCCAGAGAGAACGGCGAAGCUGGAAAACAGAAACAAACCAAUAAUCUUGUACUUUGCCUCUUGAAGGCGAGCCACAGUGCCUCUAAUGUAGACAAGUCAUUUUGUAGAAACCACUAACGCCCGCGGGGGACGGGGGAACACAUUGCGGGCCGCCUCAUUUCAAAGAUCUUUUGCAAUCAGCACCACAAUGGAGGCCCUCAUUUUAUGCUGCUACAUCAUAAAAGUGCUCUUUUGUUACAUUUCCAUCCUUAAAAGGGCCUUAAUCCCUUUCUUUUCAGGCAAGUCUAUGGCAAAUUCCACAGGGACAUCCCAUUCGCUGCAAGGGCUAGAGUGACCCACUCAGAAAGCAGCGUGCGUGGCUUUGAGCCUUUCUUCUCCUGCCACUCUCGUGAGAACAUUAAAACGUACUUUUCAUUCCCCUCACUGUGGGGGGAUGUCCCUUAAUGAUGACAGAGAAAGAGAAAUUCCUCCACUCGGGUCCUAUGAUACCAUUCUGCUGUCAAGCAGGCGUCUCGGUGGACAGAGAAUCAAACAUGGCUUCCUGCAGGUGGAGUGGCGAUGAAGGUCACGCCGCAGCUCAGAGGAGCAGGGGGAGAGGCAGCACUUCAGAGGAGUCGCCAGCUUUCUCACAGCAAAUUAAGUCAUCCGUGAAAAUGUCAGCGGCAGAGGCACCCGGAUGUUGAGGGUGUAAUGCGGUGGGAUUUAGGCAGGUGAAAAAGUCUGCCAGUGUUCCUGCUGAUAGCUGGAUAGAGACCUCAACAACACAUCCAAAGCUUUGGGUGCAUUUUACCGUGAGUGUCACUCCUUUGUAAUGGAUUUUCUGUCUCCAAGGGGUUAGUAGUGAGCAGAAGAGACAAGAAAAUAUGUUAGUGUGUACUGUGUGUACAGAAAUGCAAUUUCCACAUCUUUCUUUUGUGAUCCCGGACUGAAAAUUAAAGUCAUGUGCGAGCCUUACAACAUGCUUGCAUUAAACGCAUUCACCCUUUGUGGUAUACAAGAACAAGCAGAGUUCAGCAACCUUGAACCAAACUUCACUCAGAUGUACUGACAAUGCUGAAAGUAGAGGUUUCAUCAAUGUACUGAAUAUUUGAAGUGCAAAAGGAAUACUUGAAUUUCAUUAUCCAAUAGAGACUCAUCAAUCAAUGCUCAGCUUAUCAUUUUUUUUUUAACCCA
ensembl:lncRNA